GAUAAGACUCCAAGCUUAUCCAAAUUUCAGAUGAUACAAGAGGUUCCUUGGAGCAAAAGGACUCCAAGGCACCUCUUGAUCUUUGAAGUCCACACCCCACAAAAUUGGCAUGAAAACUUUUGGAUAAGCACAAAGGAAAGGGUGCCCCACACCAAGGGGUGCCACACAAUAUAUGCACAAGAGAGAAACCCCACACACCAA
rnacentral:lncRNA from 1 species